AUUUUCGGGGGGGAGUAUGGAAGGAUUGAAAGCAAUGACUAUGGUUUUUAUGUGCGUUUUUGCGGCAUUUUUAUUCGCUGUCCAAGCUGCAGCAAAGCCAAUCUCUCUUGAUGCAUUUUUCUUUGAACAAAUACAAGAUGAUAAAAAUGUUACUGGUGCUUCCAAAAUUUACACCAUUGAGACUAGUGAUCUAACAAAUACAACAAGAAGUGAAAAUGUACUUCAGCUCUCUUUUUUACAACAUAAUUUGUUACCUGGAGACAAGGUGACCUUCUAUGAUGGCAAC